GGAGAUUGAAUAGAAAGGUAUCUGAAUUGAGAUUGUUGGGGUUUUGUUCUGUACCGGAAAAGUUGAAGUUUUAUCUGUUACCAAGUCGGCUGUUAUUGGGGAUUUGUUAUUUCAUUGUCUGAUCGUGAUGAGGAGGAGCAAGGGAGAAAGAAUUAGUCACUAUAUAGAAUUCUGUAGUUUGGUUCCAGAGUACCAGUAGCUGAUUCAAUUCUGAUUUCUGUUGCUAUCUCAAUUGGGGUCACUGAUUUAGUUAGUUGUUGAGACGAGUAAAAUGCUGGAGACUCAGUUAUGUCCUACUCGGGUGUUAUCACCUUUCCGCGAAGAGAGUGGAGAUGAGGAGUUGUCUGUACUUCCGAGGCAUACCAAAGUUAUUGUGACUGGAAACAACAGAACCAAGAGUGUUUUGCUGGGGCUUCAGGGAGUUGUCAAGAAGGCUGUUGGGCUUGGC
rnacentral:misc_RNA from 1 species